rnacentral:SRP_RNA from 1 species
GCCAGGUGUGGUGGCGCACACCUGUAGUCCCAGCUACUUGAGAGGCUGAGGCAGGAGAAUUGCUUGAACCUGGGAGGCAGAGGUUGCAGUGAGCCAAGAGAGUGCCACUGCAUUCCAGCCUGGGCAACAAAGCAAGACUCUGUCUCAA